AUCUUUCUAAUUUUAAAUCCAAAUUAAAAGUUUGACCCCAAUUUUAUGAUCCACUGAACAUAGAAAAUUAUAGUGUGUGUGAGUCAUCCAUGUAGUAUGAACACAUUCUUGUUUUCUAAAUGCCUUUAGAUGUUUGGCUGAUUUUUAGUAUGUGAUAUAAAAAAAGAAGAUGUGGUAUGAUUGAGUUAACCAUGAUGAGUUACAGAUUAAGUUUAACUUUUGUUCCGCCCUGCUAAUAAUUGCAGAAAUUAUGGGC
rnacentral:lncRNA from 1 species